ensembl:snRNA U6 U6 spliceosomal RNA
GUGCUCACUCCAGCAGUACGUACCUAUAAAUGAACCAUACAGAAAAGAUUAGCAUGUCCCCUGCUCAAGGAUGACACCCAAACUCGUGGGGCGUUCCAUAUUUUU